rnacentral:rRNA from 1 species
UACAGAGGAUGCAAGCGUUAUCCGGAAUGAUUGGGCGUAAAGGGUGCGUAGGCGGUCGGGUAAGUCUGAUAUGAAAUCUCACAGCUUAACUGUGAAACUGCAUUGGAUACUAUCCGGCUCGAGGAAUGGAGGGGAGACUGGAAUACUUGGUGUAGCAGUGAAAUGCGUAGAUAUCAAGUGGAACACCAGGGGCGAAGGCGAGUCUCUGGACAUUUCCUGACGCUGAGGCACGAAAGCCAGGGGAGCAAACGGG